rnacentral:tRNA from 1 species
GGCACGGUAGCUCAGCUGGUUAGAGCGCGCCUCUCAUAAGGGCGAGGCCGGGAGUUCAAGUCUCCCCCGUGCUA